GCAUCGGUGGUUUAGUGGUAAAAUUAGCCGUUGCCAAGAGUAUUAAUUUGCCUCAGCUACAUCGGCUAGCCCCGGGUUCGAUUCCCGGCCGAUGCA